AAGUUGGAUUCGCUAGUAAUCGCGCAUCAGCCAUGGCGCGGUGAAUACGUUCCCGGGCCUUGUACACACCGCCCGUCAAGCCAUGGGAGCCGGGGACGCCUGAAGUCCGGGACCGCGAGGACCGGCCUAAGGCGAAACUGGUGACUGGGGCUAAGUCGUAACAAGGUAUC
rnacentral:rRNA from 1 species